CAAUCCAAAAUUAAAAAAAAAAAAAAGGUCAUGGUAGGUUAAAAAUAUUGCAGCUCAAUUUUGUGAUUCCAUCUUAGGGCUAUGCUCUACUCAAAGUACUAGUUCAGUGAUUACAACUAUAAUAUUCACUUGUACUAAGUAUUAACUAGGUAGAUUCAUUUGAACACCAAAUUCAGCAGUGAAAUAUUGUCAAAAAGAAAAUUAUUAUCAUGUAUAUCAACAAUAAAAGCAUUCAGUUAUCUUCUACUGAUAACAUCAACAACUACUUAAUUAAGAACAAGGGACUAACCCCAUACUAAAAAUGUAGAACAGUAAAACAACAAAACAUGUGAACAAGCAGAGAAAAUCUAAUCAAGCAAAUCACACAGACCAAUGAAACAGAUUUUGCCAUCAAAUAUUUACGUUCUUAUUUCAUUGCCAUCACUACAAAUAUAAGAUCACAAACUUUGAUUUCCCAGCCUAAACUAGUUCACUUCUAAGUUAUAACAAUAGCUUGGAAUAUGCAGACAAUCCUUUUGGCAUUGCACUUGAAAGUGCCAACUAAGAACUCAAAUCAAACUAAAAUUAAGAAUAAGACCACAUCAAAGUCAGACACUGAUACGAAACGAAGGAUAAACAAAAAGAUACACACUGAAAUUGAAUAAAAAAAUAAAUUGAAAUUAAAAUAGAAAACAAAAGAAUAGGUUGAAAUUGAAUACAAAGGGAAUUACGCUACUUUUUAUCCAAUUUUUUGAUGCAACAACAAAAGGAUUCUCUCAACUUAACUUGUCAACACCAUAAUUUGGGAAUUGAAUCGAAGGGAAUCACUCCAUCUUCUAUCCAAUUUUCCGAUGCAACAAGAGAGUAACUCACUUGACCUCACUUGUCCAUGUCAUGGUUUCAAAACCAAAAAAGUGGUUUUUCACACCUCUAAUUUCUCAGUGACGACUACAAUAGUUUAGGAAAUAUUAACAACCUCAUAUUAGGUUAAAAUAAAGAAAACCCUAUGCCCACUGACAUAAAACCCAAUCUACUAACUAAAUAAAUAAAAUUAAAGUACAUGAAAUUAAAUUAAACAUUCUAAUAUUUAAAAAAUAUAAACUAAUAACUACUAAAUAAUACUUAAACUAUUCAUGACACAAACUUUUGAAGCACGUAGCAGACACUUAUGGGCAACUCUGGCACUUGCAGAGAAUAACUAUAUCCCUAUUGAGAUCCAAAUCCAACUGCAAUGCUCAUUAACUUAUUCACAAUUAUAAAGUAUCAUGAUUCAUCUCACUAGCAGGCAAUGUAAUUGGGGGUUAUGAAUGCCAUAUGCAUCAACAUGAUUGUAAAACUUAUAAAAGCAAAUCAUAUCAUAUUGAGUCCAAUUAAGCAAUUUGAAUGAAUAAUAAAAUAUGCUGAGACACUAGAAGCAAACAAGAGUAAUGUGUUGAAAUAUGAAGAGAGAUAUCAUUGUUAGAUAGUGGUUAGUAAUUUGGACGGUGCAUUUAUGGAGAGUAGUUGAGAAGGUACUCUAGAUUUAUCACUCUCCUCUAUAUAUGUUGGCCUUUUCCCUUGUAACGAUACAUAACAAUUCACACAAUCAGUAAUAAUCUCUCUCUUUUCUCUAAUUACUCUAAUAUUUCCAGCUGAGUAACCAUGAAUCUUAAUAUAACAUCAAAGACAUGGUAUCCUCCUUGAAAACUGUUGCAGCACUGCUGCCGUCCACCAUUGUCAAAUCUGGCCAAAGACCACACCCUUGGCUUCUCCUUGUCCAGCAAUGCCCAACCUCUCCAACCUUGUCAACAGUGUUGCUCUUUGACAAGCCACGUGUUGCCACAUUCAACAUAUCUCUGACAAACAAGUCAACGACUUCACUUCCACUAGUGCCUGAGGGCACAUCAACCACUGUAUUCUGCUGCCAACUCCUGCAGCUACUGACACCUCAAUGCUCACCUCUUUGUGCUAUCUUUGCAUAUGUGUUUAUCUCCUUGAUCAAGCCGCUAGUCCACUACAGUAUCAAACUUGAUUUAUCCCUAAUGGGUGCCAUGACUAUUUGAGUAUUGAUCUCCUGCUUCUAAUAGUGCAAGUCUGACCCCUUUGUUGUCUGUGUAACCUCCUCCAGCAUCUCCCUAUUCUUACUUUUGGUAUCUAGUCCUCUUGGCACAAUGUGAUGAAUAUUGGGUUGUGUUUUCCUUCCAACCUCCCAUUGUGAACCAUACCCACGGUAAUAUUUGUCAUUCACAGUCUUUGCCAGUUAUAUGCUAUUUAUGGCCUCUU